UAAAUGUGCAUCUACAGCUUUUCUGCAUAACCUCGGCCCUGUUGUAGCCCGAAAUUUUGCAGAAAGUCUCUGAACAGUAAACAAUCGGAUAAUCAACGAUCUGAGCAUUUGCCAGUAGGAAACUGCAGUCAGCUAAACAAUCUACAAUAUUAAGUAAUGGAGCAAGAUGAAUGAAUGAAGUGUAAGUAGCAGGAGAAAUAAGAAAAGAAAGAAGACAACAGCUAAAGAAGAGCUUGGAUAAUCAAUUCUACCAAAAGUGGAUAUUAUCAACCAGUCUAGUGACUCUUUUGGGUUACCAUUUUCAUCUCACUUUACCCUUUCAUCAUGAUCAUCAUCACCAUGAGUUUGCCAUUACAAUGAAGGCAGGAGAAGAUAUAAAGAAGAAAAAGAAUUAAGGAGAAAACAAAGAAAAAGUAGGAAUAUCAGUUACCAAUUUGAUGAACAAAAGUUAAGCCAAAAGUAAAAGUGACCAACUAAAGGAAUGACGAAUUAUUGUAUAAAAAUCUAAACUGGGAAUUGAAGAGAAAUAUAAAUCGGCUGAUGAGAAAGAAGAGAAAUGAUUCCAAGAAGACAUUUAAAGAAUGAUAAAGACUGAUAAAACAAGAAGUUAAAGAUGGACAAAUUUUGAUGACAAAGAAUAUGCUUUUACAUUGUCUCAUCACCAUCAACCAUCAAUGAAAAGUAACAUUGAUUGGAUUGAGCAUCCCUUAAUCUUGCUGAUGAAUUCUGCUAAUAUUAUUGCAGCCUUCUUUCCAUCAACAUUUUAACCCAACUUGAAACAAUGAUUAAGCUUCUGAAGACAAUAGCUAUCGAAGAAGAGGAAAAAGGAGACAAAAAAAAUCAAGCAAAAAUCAGCAAUAUUAUAAACAGUAUCUUCAAGGAAUACCAAGACAAUGGAAAGAAAAGGAAGAAAAGAUUCUUAUAAGCACUAGGAAGCUAAUCCUUUUGAUGAUUUCCUUAUUUGAUCUUAAAAACUGGCGAAAAGAAGAGCUUGAAUAUAUGAAUAUUUGACAAAAAAUAUGGUUAAGGACGAGGUUAAAGCUCUCUUGUUUUGAGACUAGGAACCCUGAAAUACAAGAAGAGUUGACAAAACAAUAACAGAAUAGCAAGAUUCCUCUUGUUUCAAGACAAUCCUCCAGCUUUGGUACACAGUAAUAUACAUAACGAAAGCAGAAAAGUCUGAAAAAAUGGCUCUAUUGUUUCUUAGUUUUUUCAAAAUCUUUUUCUGCCCUUUUCUGUCAACUUUUCAACGUUACAUGAUUGAGAAGUCAAUAAAUGGAGGUUCAAUGAAACGUAUCAAGCAACCUUUGGAAGCUUGGCAAGGAAAACAAUAUCUCAAACUUGAUCCAGUUUAACAGGGAAAGAUGGAUGAAACCACUGACUAACAUGGUGAUGGGCUCAUUUUAAUUGACAAUCUAACAAGGAAUACUAAAAUGGAAUCAAAAUGCAUGUACAAUGAAGAUCGUUUUUUCACUUUUCUGUUUGCUGUUAUCCGAUUUCAGAGGUUGACAAGAAACAAAUCUUAAGUGAAUUAAUCUUUAAUGUUAUAUAAUUUGAUCUUGGAAUAAUGUUUUAUGGAAAGUUUGUGAAUUCACAACAAGACAUGAGUUACUCUACCUUUCAUGGACAACUCUUUACUGGUCAACUGGAUAUUGCUGUUAUUUUGGAUGCAACUUGAAGUGAAACUCUAUCGCAAUCAAUUGAAAGAAAUGAAAGAUUGAAAGAUAAACUGUUCCAAUGGUGAAAAGAUAAAGAUUCAAGUUAGGUGAUGAAAGUGAAAAAGAGAUUGGAUUGACAAUCUAAAAGGAUAAUUGAAAGAAAAGAAAAUCUGACUGAAAUCUCAAUGGAAAAUCUGAAAGAAUGUAGUGGUUUUUCGUUGUGCAGGGAAAAAGCAGGCAAAGUGAUGAGACUAUCAUGGAAGAGUUAAAAGUCAUCUUUACAUGUUAAAGUAUUAUAAUGUAAUAUGAAAACAAGAGAAUGAUAUAUUGACAGAAAUGGAUUCAAAUUUUAGACGACAAGUUAGAUAAGUAAGAAAGACAAGAAGACGAUGAAUAAAAUAUAAAUGAUGGAAUUGGAUAAAGCCCGGGAAAAGUGUAGUUUGCAUGAGAAAUUGUAGAUAUUUUUGAUGCAAAUUUUUCUUUGUCCUUUUCAUUUUGUUAACAGUCAAUCAUUCUCUUCCUUUUUUCUUCUUCUUCUUUCAUCCCUUUCUUCAAGAGUUAUCUUCUCUCUACAUGAUAGACGAUGGCAGACAUUGGCUUGGAACAUCAACUGAAUUCAAGAUUAAAGGAGACUUUUUGGUGAAAGAGUUUAUCAAUACUAACAUGAUGAAGAUGAUAAUGAUGAUGAUCCAGGAGGAAUGUGUUGAAAGGAGAAGCAAUGUUGAUGAUCGUGGUGAAGAUUGAAUGAGGAGAAAUAGCAAAGAAAUAAGAUGAUGAUGAUGAUGACCCAAGAUGAUCACAAGUUGAUCAUUUAAUAAUAAUAAGAAUAGUUUUACUGGAAAUAAUGAAGCACCUCGAUGAAACCUGCCAAAAGUGAAUAUCAAAAAAUGUCUGCUGAUGUUUAUAAUAAAGCCAAAAAGGAAACCAAGAAGUUGAACCAAGAAGGAAAAGUCAAUUCAAGAUUUAACCUCAAUUUUUGCCAAAUGAACUUUCAUUCAAUUUAACCAAUUAGUCUUUUGAUAUCAACAUUUUGUCAUUUACUUUCUUUAUCCAGUUGAAUCUGUUCUGAAGAUUUACCUUUUUCAACACUUUUAAUUGAUCAACUGAAUUUCAAUUUUAAUCAAUUGCAAGAAAAAGAAAGCUCUUCUUUCAAAUGUACUUAAUGAAAUUUCGUUGAUCACUCAAAGGCAAUAAUUUUAUCUCCUUUUUUUCUCUCUCGUAAAUCUCAUUUUCUCAUGAAUUUGAUUAACUCUUUUAGUUCAAAUUUAUCUCUUUUUUUACUCUCUAGACUGACUUAAGACUUGCAAGGUGCAUCACUGGAAACUUGUUUUUACCUCAUUGGAUUUUCACUUGCCAUUCUUAAUAUUAUUACAUAUGACUGUUGGUAUAUUUAAUCGAAUAAGUGCAUUUUUUUCUCUCUUUUCUGAUCAGAAUAAUUGAAUAUUGAGACUUAUGUAAGGUUAUACUGCGAUUUAGGUGAACCCUGCUUACAAAGUCAAUUGGCUGUUGAUCAAGUGUUGAAAAUCAAAAAGGAAAGAGGACAAAAUUGAACAAACAAUUGACGUUGAAACAGCAAAUGAUCAUGAGGUGAAAAUGAUGAGGCAUUUAAGUGUGUGUCUGUGUGGCUCAAUCGACAAUCACAAUUGAAUAGUUUAAAAUUAAAUCUCCAAUAAGGUUGAUUUUUCGAUGAAUUUGGGUUUUCAAGAUGAUUCCUCUUUUGUGUCACAUUUGAUAAUAUUGGAAAUGACAAGAAGCAAACAAGAUGAUGGAGAAAAAUGAAAGUAAACUAAUCAAUGUACCUGAUCUUGGAUAUUAGAGUGUGACACAAGUAAAUCGAUUUAAAUGGCUCUUAUAUCAACACCAUGUGAACCGAUUGGUUUCACUGGAAUAUCUGUUGAAGGAUAAUGAACUUAUCAUUGUUUAUCAUGGUAAAGAAGGGAAAAAAAGGCAAAGGGAAAAAAGGUAAACUCUAGUCAAGAUGGUGAUACUGAUGACUAAAUGAUGUGCUCACAGGAUUGGAUUUAAAGCCAGAGAAAAGAAAGAAAGAAAUUCAAGGAAAAGGCUGCAAAAACAAAGGUUGAUGGAGAUGAUUACGAUAACAGGAUUAUCAUCACACACACAAGGAAACAGGAACCAAUUUAUGAUCAUUUUUGUUGAUUUGUUAUGGCUAACCCAAUAGUUGUCAAAAAAAGCUGAAAAUAUGUUAUAAAGCAGACAGCUAAAACUGGAAAUAAUCUUUCACUUUUUUUCGCCAUUAUUUCUCCUUCAUUUUUAUCCAUAUUGAAAUCGAUAUUUUUUUCGAUUUUCUCCUCUUCUCUCUCUCUCCUGCUCAAAUACCACAUACAUGGAAAACAUGUAACACAUGAACAUGUGUAUGAAUUGGUGUGUUGUUUUUCAAAAUCAAUGAAUGAUUUUGUACUAAAAGCAUAAGAUGGUUGAACAAUGGGAAAAGGCUGAUAACCAAAGUGGUGUGUUGUGUUUCAACAUUCAAAGGAUUUUUUCUUCUUCUCAACGGAAACCAAUGAAGUGCUGAAAAGAUGUUUUUGGAAUGCAACAAACAAGAAAAGAACGAGAAAAAACUGUCCAAAGGAAAGCAAAGAAAAAAGGAUAAAGUUAUUCAAUAAUAAACAUGGAAAAAGCAGAAGAAACAGAAGCAAAAGUCAACAUAAAUAAUGAUGACAGAAAAAGGAUGAUAAACUCAAUGGUUACGAUGUUAACGAUACAAGUGACGAUAAUUUUUUCUAAAGUGUUUCAGAUAUUUAUUUACCCUCAACAUUAUUCCAUUCAACAUGAACACAAUCAUGGAGAAAAUUUUUAUUUAUCUUGAUGAUCAUUUUGGCUGUUCAUUCUAUUGCUUUCUUUUCCUCUCUCUCCAUGCACAAGUCUACAAACCAAGCACAAUUUCAUUGGUAAAAGAUGUAAGACAAUAUUCAAGCAUUUUUCAUGGUAAAAGCUGGAUAAAAAAUGAUUCUCAGAGGAAACUCAUCUUUUACAAAGUUUUCAUUUUAUUUCAUUUGGAAUGAAGGAAAAGAGGCAAAAACAAAACAUCAUUUUCUAGACUGGCAAAGGAACCAAAAGAAAUGACUCAAGAUUGAAAUGUGGUUACAAUUUUUGACGCUUAACAUCGUAUAAUCCUUAAUGAAGUGAACAUUAUUGUUGUGCUGAGUAAACAACAGUUUUGAUGGAAACAAUCUUAUUGUAAAGUAAUUCAAUUAUAAUAACAAUAAUGAUGGCAAUUUUUUGGUGAAUAUCACCUUAUUUUUCAGGUUUACCUUAAAGCUCAGUCUAAAGUUGCAUUGGAUGGAGAAAGAUGUUUUCAAAAAUUCAGAAGAAGAAGACGAAAAAGCCAAGCAAAAGAGAAAAGCAAUUUUUUGGUUCAACAUUCAUUUUGCCACCGUUUUCAAUCUGAAUGUGUGUGUGUCUAAAGAUCUGUGGAAACAUGCAAUAUUUCAUGUUUAUUUACCUGAAUGGAGAUGAAUCAAGGGAGAGAAAAAAGAAUGAUGGAAUCAACGUUGAAAAGAGCAAAAGUGAAGGGAAAAAGUUUAAAGACAAGAAGAUGGUUAAGAUGGAAAAAGAUGAGACAACAAUAUCAUCAGAAGAUUCAGUUUCUUUGUUUUGUUUCUUAUCCUUUUUCCCUUUACCAUUCUAAUCUGACUAAGGUUGCUAUUUUUCCCAGUCAACAUGAAGAUAAAUGCUCAUGGUUUUACUCAUAUUUAUAUGUGAUUUAAACAAAAAGAUGAUGAUAAUAUGGGAAAAAGGGAGAACUAAGAUGGUAAACAAGAUUGAAUUGUGAAUUCAAUGAACCAUUCAAAUCUUUUAUUUACAUACAUAUUGAUACCAAUUUUGAAUGUGUAAACAAUUUUCAUUGUUUUCACUGUUUUCCUCAUUUCCAUCAUUCAAUCUUAUUCCCUUAUUUUAAUCAUUUAUUAAUUCAUCUUCAAUUUCAUCUCCUACAGAUUUUCAGUAAUCCAAGAUUUUCAUCAAAAGCAAAAUGAUCAAUGGAUAUCGAGGAAAAAGCGCUUGUAAUAAGAUGCACAAAUGGCAUAUGGAACCACUCUUGUAGUCAUCAUCAUUCAUCACCUUUUUAAUUGGUCAAACAUAAUUUUUUCAAUUAUGUGAUGAUAAUUUUAAUGGUUUGAAAACUUCCACACGAAUGAUUCUAAUCUUUUCUGGAUUCAACUUUACUUGAUUUAAAUCUUUCCACACUCAAAUGAAAAUUGGCCAAUCAAGAAUAACUAAUCAUUUUGAAUGACAAUCAACAGUUUAACACAUUUUUUUUUGUUUUUCAGUCUUUUUCCUCUCAAAGAAAAUAUCUUUCAGGAUUUGGAUAUUCAAUGGAAGCUGAAAAUUUGUUUUUCUUAAAUUUCUAUCCAACAGUAACAGCAACAAUUUGAUUCAAACAUUGAAUUUAAAAUGGUUCAAACUUGCAGGUUCAACUGUAAAUCUGUUGAUUAUUUGAUGAUGAGAAACGAGCUCAACAAGAGUUAUUAAAGGAUUAUCAGGAGAAAAGUUGUUCAACGAUAAAGCAGGCGAGUAAAUAUUUUCAACUUUGAUGAGAUAAAUAAUGAUAAAGAAAAGCAUUAAACACAAAGGGAUUGAAAUUGAAAAGUACAGACAGUAUCAUUAAUCUGUUCAGUAAUAAUCAGAAGAAAAAACAAAAAAUCUAAACUUGUAAAUGUAAAAGAGAGAAAA